CCUACGGGAGGCUGCAGUGGGGAAUAUUGGGCAAUGGGCGCAAGCCUGACCCAGCAAUGCCGCGUGAAGGAAGAAGGCUUUCGGGUUGUAAACUUCUUUGACAGGGGAAGAGCAGAAGACGGUACCCUGAAAACAAGCCACGGCUAAAUACGUGCGCGCAGACGCGGUAAUACGGAGGUGGCAAGCGUUGUCCGGAUUUACUGGGUGUAAAGGGCGUGUAGCCGGGAAGGCUAGUCAGAUGUGAAAUCUGGAGGCUCAACCUUCAAAUUGCAUUUGAAACUGUUUUUCUUGAGUACUGGAGAGGCAGACGGAAUUCCUUGUGUAGCGGUGAAAUGCGUAGAUAUAAGGAGGAACACCAGUGGCGAAGGCGGUCUGCUGGACAGCAACUGACGGUGAGGCGCGAAAGCGUGGGGAGCAAACAGGAUUAGAUACCCGUGUAGUC
rnacentral:rRNA from 1 species